GUCGGCUGCAAGGAAGAGGGCUGGCGCCUGAGCGGGGUCUCUCUCUCAAGAUGCAGGGCAGGUGGAGCCCAUAUUGGACAGCCAGCCCUGUGGACCCCCGUAGCUCACAGCCCUCCCCAGGGCCAGGCAGGCAGGAAGGCAUGCAGGGAUGACGUGGGGAAGCUUCGGUUCCCUCCCAAGGUCAAACCAGUGCCGGGAGCAUGGCUGCUGGGGUCAGCCUCUACCUGGACAGUCCCAGCACUGAGCCCGGCAGCCCCUGCCCCUGCCCCUGCCCCUGCCCUGCCUACCCUGGGCAGGGUCUUCUUUCAGAAGGGCCUCUACAAGCUCCCCCGCACCCCAGCCUGAGCCAGCUGAGGCCCAUGGCUAACGCCAAGCCAUCACUCUGAAGGCCAGCCGGAGGUGCCAUUUCGUUUGACUCAAAGUGUCUCUGCCAGGUGCGGUCACGACCCAGCCAGCACCAGGCAGCAGAUGGAGAGACACUGGCCACACCCUAGAGAAAGAACCUGCAGGGUGAAGUCACCGGAGCCCAACUCCCCACAAGGUGUAUGCACGGAGGAAAGCAUAGGAGAGAGGUCCCCACCAAGUCUGCCUCAGCACCUCCUGCCCACACUGCCUGCCCCUCCAAUGGAGCCCAUGCUGGAUGCUCCAAGGGGAUUUGAUCUUUGAAAGAGAGAAGUCCUUAAGGAAGCACAGCAUCCACCUGGGGAAGGCCACUGCUCUGUGACCCUCGGGGACGAGGUUCGUGGGGCCACACUGCGCAGAGGCGAGGGACAGAAUUGGUCCCCCACUGACCCCUCCACCUUGAACCAAUGCAGGGCAGCCCCUCCUUGACCUCACCUGAGCCUGGGAUUCAGGCCCAGGGUCUUUGUCCACCCCACAUCCACACAGGAGGGGUUCCCGGGGCCCUGGGGGCACCCACUGUACAGUAAGGAAUUAGAGGUCUUCUUCAGCCCCUCUCUGCCUCCACCCCAGAUCCACUUCAGCAAAUCCCCCAGGAGCCCCUCCCCAACAACCCCCAAGGUGGGCCUGGAGGGCUCUGCUGGGCAUUGCCCUGGGGGCAUGUGGGAUGUGAACCCCCACCCCUAACCCUGGAGACACACCUGGAGGGGGGUCCCUGCCCACUUGGCAGCAGCCCAGGGGGGCCCUGCUGAGUGGAGGAAUUGGGGGUUCCAGAUGCAGCUCCCUGCUAGAGCCAGACCUGGCCUUAAAGUAGCUCCUCCAGCAACCUGGAGCAGGUGGGGUGUGGGGGUCCCCUGAACGUGUGUGAACCCAGCAGGGGGUACGUGUGCCCGUCAGGCCUACGACUGCCCUGGGAAGAGCCUGGGAUGGUUCCAGAAGUCUCCGCCUGGUCUACCACAGGACUGUGUGUGGCUGGACUGCAGCCAGAGCUCUGAGCACAGUCCCUGGCAUCACAGAGCCCACCCAGGGCACCCACAGACUGCCCGCCCCAGCCCGGCCCCUGCCUCGGCCCCCUGGCCCAAGCCACUGUUUCUAAAUUCUGUAGAAACAGUCCUGGUUGCCAUAGCAAAGCCACAUGCACUUCCGCAGCUGUUCCCUGCCGUCCCUUAGAACGCUUUUUCCAUCCCAAAUAGGCAGGGUGUGACGUCGAAGGCCCCUGGGGUGUCCCUGGCCUCUGCCUGCCUUGGUCCUCAGAAUCCCCUCAGACCCCAGCAGGCCCUGGUCUGAGGUUGGCUCGACCUCCCUUCCCUCUUAGCACCGAGGCCCAGGACCUCGCCCCUCUCGUCUGCCCCUGCCCGCCACACACAUAGCCCCAGCUCUGCAGAGGCCUCUGAACUCCUCCCACAGCUCUGUCUCUACUGCAUCCACCCAGCCUCCAGGCCUGUCUUGCCCUGGCCAAGCCUCUUCAGCGUCCACAGCUCCCUCUGCUGCAGGGAGGGGGUCCCCCCAGCUGAGCCAAGGCUUUACCCUGACUUCAUAGUAAGGAUGCCUUUUGCUGCCCCUCUAGCCCCUUGGGAGCUGGCAACAUCUCUCAGUCCUUUUGUUCCCCUAUCUCACGGCUGUCUAUUGUGUGGGGACCUGGCUAGCCUAGUCCAGGUGAAGUCCAGAGGGCUUCCUGGAGGACGAGGCUACUGGGAUCCAGAGUGGGGAGAGUAUUCUGGGGCACAGGAAGAGACCCAGCUUCAGAGCACUGAGCUGGGGAGUGUGUUUCUGGUUCUCAUACAAAUCAUGUGGGCCUCGGACUCUCGGAAACAGGUCAUGAGCUUUGCCCAAGAGCCAAGGGCCAGCAGUGCCCUGGCUCAGCCCAUGCGCCCCAGUCCUGGGCUGUGUUCUCAUUUGCUUCCUGUGUGGCUCGGUCUCUCAGGCUCCCUCCUUCCUUCUGCCCAGCAGCAGCGGGGAGCUGACACAAACACUGGCCAGAUGUGGGCCCAAAGAGGCAACAGGAACAGGAGGGCAGAGACCACCAGACCCACUCUAUCACCCAGCGCCCUCAUGCCAGCUGCACAGCUGCCUCCUUCUCCACACCGUCCCAUGCCCCUCAGUCCUGAGCCUCUGUGUGGCUGCCCCCCACUUCCCACCUGGGUGCCUCUAGGGUUGGGUCACCUCCACCCCGAGUUUUUAGGCAGCUGGCCUCCUCCAGCCGGGGGUGUCUGGGUCUGCACGUGACCAGCACCAGCCUCCAGCGCCCACUUUCCCCUUUCACCUGCCCCACCUGGCUGUACCCUCCUCCUUCCGGGAGCAAGGCUGGGGACAGUGGGGGGAUCUAUUGAAGGCCAACGGGUUGGUGGGUUCCUCUCCACAGGUUCCUCCUGCAUGAACCACACUGAGUACCUGGUGAAGUCCCACAACAGCUCUCAGGCUGGGCAUGUGCUGGCCUUCCCUACCUGCCCUCCCUGACCCAGCAGGGUGUCUGUCAGGGAGAUGGUGUGACACCAUGGACAAGGCUCCAGGCACUGGGCUCAGACAGACCUGGGUUCAGAUUCCACCUGCCACUUCACAGCUAUGUGUCUGGGCAAACUGCCGCCCUCCCAGACCUCAGGCUUCUCAAGAGAGAAUGGAGUAGAGCCGGACCCCCAUCUGGAAGGAGCCAAGAGAAGAUGCACACGUCAAGAGUAAAGGCACAGCUGGGAGGCCUGUAAUCCCAGCACUCUGGGAGGCUAAGGUAGGUGUAUCAUGAGGCGGGAGUUUGAGACCAGCCUGGCCAAGAUGGUGAAACCCUGCCUGUUCUAAAAAUACAAAAAUUGGCCGGGUGCAGUGGCUCACGUCUAUAAGCUCAUCCCAACAUUUUGGGAGGCUGAGGUGGGAUCAUAAGGUCAGGAGAUCGAGACCAUCCUGGCCAUGAUGAAAUCCCGUCUCUACUAAAAUACAAAAAAGUAGCCGGCGUGGUGCCAAGCACCUGUAGUACCAGCUACUCAGAAGGCUGAAGCUGAGAAUUGCUUAUACCCGGGAAGCGGAGGUCGCAGUGAGCCAAGAUCGCACCACUGCACUCCAGCCUGGUGAAAGAGCAAGACUCCAUCUCAAAAUAAAACAAAACAAAACUAGCCAAGCGUGGUGGCACACACCUGUAAUUCCAGCUACUCAGAAGGCUGAAGCUGAGAAUUGCUUAUACCCAGGAAGCGGAGGUUGCAGUGAGCCAAGAUCGCACCACUGCACUCCAGCCUGGUGAGAGAGCAAGACUCCUCUCAAAAAUAAAAAAAGAGUGAAGGCACCACAGAUGGCAGCUCCUCUGCUGAGUGGACCACGGAGACUGAGGAAGGCAGAGAGGCCGCCCUGGGACACAGCCAGCAGUCCGUGUUGUGGUGACCAGAGCCCCAUUCCUUCUGCUUCCUCCAUGGCUGCCACACACCCAGGAGCCCCGGCAGUGCCUGAACCAGUCCCAUGCCAAGCCGGGGAGCAGCUGCAUCCCAAGACCAGGCUACCCAUGCCUCCUGGUCAGCAGGCCCUUCAACUGCACCUUCUUCCUUUCCCCAAACCACUCAUUCCUAUGCCCAACCAGCUGGCCGAGAGUCACACGACAGGGUGCCAGGACCUAUGCGGGAGGGUGGGGACGUGUGAUGGCUGAACACGAAUCUGACCCAGGAAGAGCUAGGAGCCUGGUGGGGAACAUAGGCAGACAGACGUGCAGGAGCCCCACCAAUCGCCACUCCAUCUGCCAAAGGCACUUUUCGGUGAGUACCAAAGCCCCUGAACUUUUCCAUUCACUUCCAGAAAUAUGACACUCAGCACUAGUGAGCCACGGACAAAGUCACUUGAUCAGAGACCCUUGGGUUGGGGCAUCCAGUUGGGAUUCCGACUCCGGGCCCCUCCCCUCCCUCGGCCAGGCUGCCCAAACCACUGCUCCCCCUCAGGACAAGGGGCCCAGGGCUUCUCUGGAGAACUAUAAAUGCCCAGAGCAGUCAAGUCAGGAUAUUCACAAUAGAGAGACAGAGGCACAGGGAAGGGGUCUAGGAAGGGAGAGGCCCCAAGAGAAGGAAUGAGGAAGAGGGAGUCUCCUCCCUUGGCGAGGGCAGUGAGAAAGGUGGGCAGACAGGCUGGGGCACCGUGAAAUUCCUCAGCAAGUGAGAGGCCCCCCACUCCGAGAGCUGGGUGGGAUCCAGCAGGCCCCUGCUGACUCCAGACUCAACCCGAGAUGACCACUCUGGCCUGGCUCAAGGCAAGGAUGCCUUGACAGCUGGACCUCAGCGGGGACUAGGAAAGGAUGCCCUAGCCUCCCUCUCUCCUGCUUCCCCAGUAAACUCCAAAGUCUGGUCCACACACAGAAGGCUGUUUACCAGACCUAGAUCCGAAGUGCCUCUCCAGCGCUUCUUCCUCCACGACACUUGCCAGGCACCCUAUAGAACCUGGUCUGGCCCCGUCGACUUCACCUCUCCACUUGCCGGUGCUUGCUGGGACACGCCAGGCCCCUUCUCACCCUAGGCCUUUGUACAUCUGGCUCCUUCUGCCUGGAAUGCUCAUCUUGCAACAUCCCGGGACUGGCUGCUUCUCCAUCAGGCUUUGGCUAACGGCAGCGCCGCCCCGACCCCUGGCCAGUACUCACUUUUUCUUUUACAGCAUAUACCGCCGCUCCCCAUGAUUCUAUCUGUUGUCAAUCCCUCCACCCUGUCUGUCUAGACCAGGGACAGGGGGUGUUGGCCCGCAGGAGACAUUUGCCAAUGCCUGGAGACUUUUGUUAUCGCAACUGAGGAAGUGGGGGUGUUUACUGGUAUCUAGCGGGCAGGGGCUAGGCAGGCUGCUCCACAUCCUACAAUGUUCAGGGCAGCCCCUCGCAGCAAAGAGAGACCCGGGCCGCGUGGUCGAUGGUGCGGAGGUUGGGGACCCCUGCAGCAGACACCGAGCUCAGGAGAACUGGGACGAUGUUCUCCGCAGUCUUCCAGCGCCCAGAACAGUGUAUGGCACGCGGGCGGCUCGGGGAAUGCAGGAAGAAGGAAUGAGUAAAGAACGCGCGAGGACAGGACGGAGCGAGCGACGGACAAAUGACAGGCGGACGGACAGCGACCCGGACCCGGACCCCGAACGUCUCAGCCCCGCCCCGCCCCCCCGGCCCGACCCACGACCUCGCCUCUCCUAGACUUCGACGCGCCAGAUUCCGCCCCACCGCGCGGCCCCGGGCCGGGCGCGUCGCGGGGACACUCACCCGCCCGCGGCCACCUGGGAGCCGUAGCGCCGCCGGCCCGCUUCAUGAUGCCCCCUCGGCCGCCGGCCGGGAAAGGGACAAGCGAGCCGGAAGCGCCCGGCCGCUUCGCCCGCCGGGACUUGUAGUUCCCCGCCUCUCGGGGCUCGGGCAGCUGCCUCACGCGCGGCAUUUCCGAAACUACGACUUCCGGCGGCCCCGUCGUCGCAGGGCGGGAUUGGCGGCUUCAGAAUCACUCUAUGUUGCAGAUCGAAGUCUCAUUGGCUCUACUUAUCCGUCACUCACGGUUAGGCUUCACGGAUUCUGCAUAAGGGAGGUGCUUCAGGUCUGGGUCCAAGAGACCGCCUCCAAAAGAAAUGCCAAGGUACGAUUGGUGAAAAUAACACGGUUAGGACGUGGAGCGUAUCAGCGGCAAUAAAAGGCGGGCACUUCCGCCGGGAAUUGCCCAAUGACAGAGGUAGGACAGUUUCUAUAAAAGCUUCAGCCUGCGGUGCGUCCGUUCUUUUGGGCUAGACCGCGAGGCGUUGUGUUAAUGUUAGAUUGUGCCAUGUGCUACUAACCGGGGAAGAACUGGGCUACGAACGUAUCUUUGCGGGAGGGCCGAACGCUGCAGGCCGGCCCGGUCCCCGGGCAUCCAGCCCUGGCCUACGCUCCACUUUGUCCCUGAGCGUUUAAACCUUACUUCCUGAAUCUCAGACCCACAGCUCCUUGCAGGUUUCAUCGUGAGCCGGCUGCAAAUUUUGAACCUAAGUAAACCUCAGUCUGGAGGGCCUAGUGGUAAGGUGGGCGCUGUGUCUAUUCGAGGUGCUUAGCAAUAAAACAAAGGCAGUGAGUUGA